rnacentral:rRNA from 1 species
UAAGGAAUAUUGGUCAAUGGACGCAAGUCUGAACCAGCCAUGCCGCGUGGAGGAUGAAGGUCCUCUGGAUUGUAAACUUCUUUUAUCUGGGACGAAACACUCCUAUUCUUAGGGGCCUGACGGUACCAGAUGAAUAAGCACCGGCUAACUCCGUGCCAGCAGCCGCGGUAAUACGGAGGGUGCAAGCGUUAUCCGGAUUCACCGGGUUUAAAGGGUGCGUAGGUGGGUAUGUAAGUCAGUGGUGAAAUCCCCGAGCUUAACUUGGGAACUGCCGUUGAUACUAUAUAUCUUGAAUGUCGUAGAGGUAAGCGGAAUAUGUCAUGUAGCGGUGAAAUGCUUAGAUAUGACAUAGAACACCAAUUGCGAAGGCAGCUUACUACACAAUCAUUGACACUGAGGCACGAAAGCGUGGGUAGCGAACA